AACAGCACGUGCAACGUACUAACAAAAAAUUCAGUUCACUUACCUUUCUCACUGCUACUUGCCAGAAGGGAAGUUACACAAAUCUUCAUGCACUAGCUAGAAAACUUCUUCUGCACUGAAACCCAGAGACUGUUGACAUUUCUGCAUCUAGGUAAGCAUUGGUGAGGUCUGAAACAUGCAGACUGGAAUUGUUGCAAAAGGGGUCAUCCAUGCUUUACAUUAGAGGAACAAACGCUAACCUAGAAUUCUUUUUCUGACCGAGAGUGAAUCGGAUGAUUUUGCUUUGAGAUGAGUCCCUGGGUGAUGCACUGUACAACAAGAAAGGAAAAAAAAUUGGAAGAUGCAAACGGAGGGAGACAUAAAUUACUUCUUGUGACCAUGGUCCUCCAGAGAAAUUCAGUUCAAGAUCAGGACAAAUAAUUGUAUAUUCAAUGAAAAAGUUAAAGAAAGAUGUGACAAAAUAUUCUGAAUAUUCUGGAGAACAAAUGCCCUGACCUACUGAAACUACAUCUAGGAUAGCUGCAGAAUUAACAUCCCCACAUAUACAGAAGUCAAAUAAAUGUGUGUAUCAAGA